rnacentral:rRNA from 1 species
GACGAACGCUGGCGGCGUGCUUAACACAUGCCAGUCGAACGGAAAGGCCCUGCUUUUGUGGGGUGCUCGAGUGGCGAACGGGUGAGUAACACGUGAGUAACCUGCCCUUGACUUUGGGAUAACUUCAGGAAACUGGGGCUACUACCGGCUAGGAGCUCCUGCUGCAUGGUGGGGGUUGGAACGUUUCGGCGGAUGGGGAUGGACUCGCGGCUUAUCAGCUUGUUGGUGGGGUAGUGGCUUACCAAGGCUUUGGCGGGUAGCCGGCCUGAGAGGGUGACCGGCCACAUUGGGACUGAGGUACGGCCCAGACGCCUACGGGAGGCAGCAGUGGGGAAUAUUGCACAAUGGGCGGAAGCCGGAUGCAGCAACGCCGCGUGCGGGAUGACGGCCUUCGGGUUGUAAACCGCUUUCGCCUGUGACGAAGCGUGAGUGACGGUAAUGGGUAAAGAAGCACCGGCUAACUACGUG